rnacentral:tRNA from 1 species
AGGAGUAUCGUAUAGCGGCAAUUACGGCGGACUGUAAAUCCGCUGCUUCGGCUUCACAGGUUCGAGUCCUGUUACUCCUACAA